rnacentral:rRNA from 1 species
AGAGUUUGAUCAUGGCUCAGGGCUAACGCUGGCGGCGUGUCUUAGCCAUGCAAGUCGAGCGGUCCUAUGGGGCGACCUAUAGGAUAGCGGCGGACGGCGGAGUAACACGUAGCUAACCUACCCUCCGGACGGGGAUAACCAUUCGAAAGGGUGGCUAAUACCCGAUGGAGUCAUCCGCAAGGGUGAUGAAAGGUGGGCCUCUGUUUACAAGCUCAUGCCGGGGGAGGGGGCUGCGGCCUAUCAGGUAGUUGGUGGGGUAAAGGCCCACCAAGCCUAUGACGGGUAGCCGGCCUGAGAGGGUGACCGGCCCGAGGGACACUGAGACACGGGUCCCACUCCUACGGGAGGCAGCAGGCUAGAAAUUUGGGCAAUGGGGGAAACCCUGACCCAGUGACGCCGCGUGCAGGAAGGAGCCCUUCGGGGUGUAAACUGCUGUCGUGCGGGGCGAAGGGUUUAUAGGCGAAUAGUCUAUAGACUUGACGGUACCGCAGGAGGAAGCCCAGGCUAACCUCGUGCCAGCAGCCGCGGUAAUACGGGGUGGGCGAGCGUUGCCCGGAAUUACUGGGUUUAAAGGGGGUGUAGGCGGUCUGGAUAGUCAGGUGUGUAAUCCAAUCGCUCAACGAUUGGACUGCAUCUGAUACUUUCAGGCUAGAGGGCGGUAGAGGAGAGCGGAACUCCCGGUGUAGCGGUGAAAUGCGUAGAUAUCGGGAGGAACGCCGGUGGCGAAGCGGCUCUCUGGGCCGUUCCUGACGCUGAGGCCCGAAAGCUGGGGAGCGAAAGGGAUUAGAUACCCCUGUAGUCCCAGCCGUAAACGAUGGGCACUAGGUGUGCCUCUAUAUAGGGGUGUGCCGACGGGAAACCAUUAAGUGCCCCACCUGGGGAGUACGCCCGCAAGGGUGAAACUCAAGGAUGACGG